rnacentral:rRNA from 1 species
GUGCCAGCAGCCGCGGUAAUACAGAGGGUGCAAGCGUUAUUCGGAAUUACUGGGCAUAAAGAGCGCGUAGGCGGUCUGAAAAGUCUGAUGUGAAAGCCCUGGACUCAAUCCAGGAAGUGCAUCGGAUACUAUCAGACUAGAGUGCAGGAGGGGAGAGCGGAAUUCCAGGUGUAGAGGUGAAAUUCGUAGAUAUCUGGAGGAACAACAGUGGCGAAGGCGGCUCUCUGGACUGUUACUGACGCUGAGGCGCGAAAGCGUGGGGAGCAAACAGGAUUAGAAACCCCUGUAGUCC